AUCUCUGCACAAAUAGGGCUAGAGUUGCUCCAACAGCAUCCAGCUCUGAAAGAUCAGACAAAACUGAAGACCAGGAACUGGAACCUGGGAACCUGGUAUGUAAUAUGUGUGUAAUGCUGGAGGUUGUUAGCCUGGUUCUACCAGACUCUCGUACUUCACUUCAUUUCAUUUCAUUUGUACAGAGAGUCUGGACCUAAUCAAUUGACAAACGUUAACUCACUUGAAGGCGGGUGUCUGUUGAAGUUUAAAAUGAUUGGAUCUGCCCAGUGCCACUCUGGAUCUGCCAUAACCAAUCGCUAAU
rnacentral:lncRNA from 1 species